AGCGAACGCUGGCGGCAGGCCUAACACAUGCAAGUCGAACGAACCUUUCGGGGUUAGUGGCGGACGGGUGAGUAACACGUGGGAACGUGCCUUUAGGUUCGGAAUAACUCAGGGAAACUUGUGCUAAUACCGCAUGUGCCCUUCGGGGGAAAGAUUUAUCGCCUUUAGAGCGGCCCGCGUCUGAUUAGCUAGUUGGUUGAGGUAAUGGCUCACCAAGGCGACGUUCAGUAGCUGGGCUGAGAGGAUGAUCAGCCACAUUGGGACUGAGACACGGCCCAAACUCCUACGGGAGGCAGCAGUGGGGAAUCUUGCGCAAUGGGCGAAAGCCUGACGAAGCCAUGCCGCGUGAAUGAUGAAGGUCUUAGGAUUGUAAAAUUCUUUCACCGGGGACGAUAAUGACGGUACCCGGAGAAGAAGCCCCGGCUAACUUCGUG
rnacentral:rRNA from 1 species